rnacentral:rRNA from 1 species
GCAGGCGAGAAAACUUCGCAAUGCGCGAAAGCGUGACGAGGCUAGUCCGAGUGCCGCCUGCUAAAGGUGGCUUUUCUCGGCUGUAAAUAGGCCGGGGAAUAAGGGGAGGGCAAGUCUGGUGUCAGCCGCCGCGGUAAUACCAGCUCCUCGAGUGGUCGGGACGAUUAUUGGGCCUAAAGCACCCGUAGCUGGUUUCGUAAGUCCUCUGUUAAAUCCAGUCGCUCAACGGCUGGCCUGCAGAGGAUACUGCGGGACUAGGAGGCGGGAGAGGCGGACGGUACUCCGCGUGUAGGGGUAAAAUCCUUUGAUCCGCGGAAGACCACCAGUGGCGAAGGCGGUCCGCCAGAACGCGCUCGACGGUGAGGGGUGAAAGCUGGGGGAGCGAACCGGAUUAGAUACCCCCGUAGUCC